rnacentral:tRNA from 1 species
GGAGCGUACAGCUCAGCGGUAGAGCGCAUGCCUAGCAUGCAUGAGGUCCAGGGUUCAAUCCCCGGUACCUCCU